CCUACGGGCGGCAGCAGUGGGGAAUAUUGGACAAUGGCGGAAACCCUUAUCCAGCGACGCCGCGUGAGGGAAGAAGGUUUUCGGACUGUAAACCUCUGUUAGUGGGGACGAUAAUUACGGUACCCACGGAGGACGCCACGGCCAACGACGUGCCGGUAGCCGCGGUACUACGUAGGUGGCAAGCGUUGUCCGGAAUUACUGGGUGUAAAGGGAGCGUAGGCGGGAGGUAAAGUCAGAAGGGAAAAUUAUGGGCUCAAGUGAUAACCUGCUUUUGAAACUGAUAUUCUUGAGUGAAGUAGAGGCGAGAGGAAUGCGUGGUGUAGCGGUGAAAUGCGUAGAUAUUAGGAGGAACACCAGUUGCGAAGGCAGCUUGCGAAGCUUUUACUGACGCUGAGGCUCGAAAGCGUGGGGAGCAAACAGGAUUAGAUACCCGGGUAGUC
rnacentral:rRNA from 1 species